rnacentral:rRNA from 1 species
UCUGAACGAACGCUGGCGGCAGGCCCUAACACAUGCAAGUCGAACGGAUCCUUCGGGAUUAGUGGCAGACGGGUGAGUAACGCGUGGGAAGCUACCUUGUGGUAGGGAACAACAGUUGGAAACGACUGCUAAUACCCUAUGAGCCCUAUGGGGGAAAGAUUUAUCGCCAUGAGAUGUGCCCGCGUUAGAUUAGCUAGUUGGUAAGGUAAUGGCUUACCAAGGCGACGAUCUAUAGCUGGUCUGAGAGGAUGAUCAGCCACACUGGGACUGAGACACGGCCCAGACUCCUACGGGAGGCAGCAGUGGGGAAUAUUGGACAAUGGGGGCAACCCUGAUCCAGCCAUGCCGCGUGAGUGAUGACGGCCUUAGGGUUGUAAAGCUCUUUCAGCAGUGAAGAUAAUGACAUUAACUGCAGAAGAAGCCCCGGCUAACUUCGUGCCAGCAGCCGCGGUAAUACGAAGGGGGCUAGCGUUGUUCGGAAUCACUGGGCGUAAAGCGUACGUAGGCGGACUGAUCAGUCAGGGGUGAAAUCCCGGGGCUCAACCCCGGAACUGCCUUUGAUACUGUCAGUCUUGAGAUCGAGAGAGGUGAGUGGAACUCCGAGUGUAGAGGUGAAAUUCGUAGAUAUUCGGAAGAACACCAGUGGCGAAGGCGGCUCACUGGCUCGAUACUGAC